rnacentral:rRNA from 1 species
AUACGUAGGUGGCGAGCGUUGUCCGGAAUUACUGGGUGUAAAGGGCGUGUAGGCGGGAUCUUAAGUCAGAUGUGAAAUUCCAGGGCUCAACCCUGGCGCUGCAUCUGAAACUGAGAUUCUUGAGUGCUGGAGAGGAAAGCGGAAUUCCUAGUGUAGCGGUGAAAUGCGUAGGUAUUAGGAGGAACACCAGUGGCGAAGGCGGCUUUCUGGACAGUAACCGACGCUGAGGCGCGAAAGCGCGGGGAGCAAACAGGAUUAGAUACCCUGGUAGUCCACGCUGUAGACGAUGGAUACUAGGUGUAGGAGGUAUCGACCCCUUCUGUGCCGGAGUUAACACAAUAAGUAUCCCACCUGGGGAGUACGGCCGCAAGGUUGA